AUAGAUACCCCGGGUAGUCCACGCCGUAAACGAUGUCGACUAGCCGUUGGGGACCUUCGUGUCCUUGGUGGCGUAGCUAACGCGCUAAGUCGACCGCCUGGGGAGUACGGUCGCAAGAUUAAAACUCAAAUGAAUUGACGGGGGCCCGCACAAGCGGUGGAGCAUGUGGUUUAAUUCGACGCAACGCGAAGAACCUUACCAGGUCUUGACAUCCAGAGAACUUUCCAGAGAUGGAUUGGUGCCUUCGGGAACUCUGAGACAGGUGCUGCAUGGCUGUCGUCAGCUCGUGUCGUGAGAUGUUGGGUUAAGUCCCGUAACGAGCGCAACCCGUUAUCCUUAUUUGCCAGCACGUCAUGGUGGAACUUUAAGGAGACUGCCGGUGCAAACCGGAGAAGUGGGAUGACGUCAAGUCAUCAUGGCCCUUAGACCUGGGCUACACACGUGCUACAAUGGCGCGUACAGAGGGCUGCAACCUCGCGAGAGUGGAGCUAACUCCGAAGAAACCGCGUUCGUACGGUCCGUAGUUGGAGUCGUGACUAACCG
rnacentral:rRNA from 1 species